rnacentral:lncRNA from 1 species
CUGAUUCCUGCCUUCUUCUCACGUCUUCCCAAACUUCAGGCCAAAGUUACACUCCUUUUUUUGUUGUUUUUGAAGAGCUAUUUUUGUUGUCCUGGCCUAUUUCAUAUGAUGCACCAGUCCACGCAACGGGAAUGUCCCUCAGCCAGCUGCUUCUCGGGACAGGCUUCAUCUUCUCUGCAGCGCUGCGGGCAAACCAGACAGGGCCAGACCGACGGGUCGAAGCGGAUCUAACAUGGGACGGGAAGGGUGCCUCUGGCCGAACCCCAGCCCGGAAAUCUUGGUUGGGCUUUAGCUCAGCCUCGCGGUGCAGUGGGGAAAACUGCUGAGAACAGGACGAUUCUGUGCAAAAACGGGAACUGUGUCGCCGAUGAAAAGUGCUUUCUCAGGGUAGGAUGUUUGUGUUUCCUUUGCAGAGGUGGACGCGGGAGCGUGCGCAGCACCUGCCCGGGGCAGGCCGGGUCUCUCUGCUCCCGGCGCUCCCGCUUUGUCCCGGCUCUGUUUGAAAUG